rnacentral:lncRNA from 1 species
GGGAAAGAGAAGUAUAUUUUGAAACAAACAAAAGAAGAAAGUAGACAAACAAAUUGAAACAAAGAAAUACUAAUCAUUAAGAGAAGAUUUUGAGUUCGAUCUUGAGGAUAAAAUCGCUCUUAGUAAAGAGCGUUAAGCCCCAAAGUGGAACUUCCCAGCACGAACUCUAAUGAGUAAUGAGUAAGGUUCCAAAGCAGAUACCUAACACAUUAUGCAACAAUAACAAACCUCGUGCAACCCCACAAGUAGAGUCUAGAGAGGGUAGUGGUGUGUACAGUCUUAAACAUUAUGGGAUACAAAAAGGCUACUUGGAUAACAUUUGUCUAGUCUAGUUAGUUUAUCCUCAAGUUUAGCUCUGCAAAGAUAAAUAAGCUAUAAGAUAUCAGAGCUUGCAAAUUAAAAGGGCUAUCUUCAAAAAGCAAAAAAGAUCUGUUCCACUAAUAAUACAAAAAGAAGUUGGAGAGAAAAAUUCCUUGCAGGUUUCAAAAAUUUAUCUUCACAGCAGUAAGAGAGUUGCAGCAACAAACCCAUCGAAGAAUUAUUGUUUCCUUCCUCUUCCUUUCUUAGGUGCUUGUGCCUCCAUCUGUUCUUUGCCACCCACUUCAGAUAUAUCAGCUGCAACGAAAAGAACUUGCAGAGCAUUACAUUGACUGGAGCAUCAGGGAGAUGCAACUAUGCAAGUAUCGAAUAAAACUUCUUAGGAAUCAAUACAAGCAAAGAUAGAAGCAUGUCUAACAAGGUACAUGCCGAGUAAUUAGUAAAGAUUAGAUUGUCAUUGGAUGUUACUUAUACCAAACAAACAAGGUACCAUGUGAAGAAAGUUUGAAAAAGUAAUACCGUCUGGACCACGAGACAUCAAGGUAAAAAAAAUGUUGUUAAGUUUCUCCAUCUUCUUGGCAUCUUGGGCUUGGUCAGUCUUAAACUUGAUACACUAGCAAGGAAUUAAAAAUACAAACCAUUAGAACAGGCAAUCAAUAUGGAAAAUUCUCUGACAUACUCCCAUCAAGCAUGGGAUACAGGAUACAUUAUAUACCAAAUGUCUAAAAAGGAACUAUAUAACAGAGCUACAGAAGUCCACAGUUAUGAGCUACCAAAUGCAUAAAAGGGAAAUAUUACAUAGAGGAGCAGCAAAUGUUCCUCUUUUCAUUCACGCGAAAACAACAAGAGAAACCAACAUUUGAUGCAAAGACUGAAUAACAACUAUAUUCAACACCGUGAAGAAAUAACAAUGUCUGUAGAGCUAAAGGUAGAGAAGGGAGGGCUCAACUGACGCCUCUUCGCUUGAAAAUUUUACUAUGCAAGUACGGUGGGUAGUGAAGUUAAGGACAAGAGGAGAAAAAAAGAAGAGUGAAACUCACUUGAGAUAACAUGUAUGGAUAUCACUGAUAUAAUAUCUAAUACAAAAACAAAUUAUAAAAUCAUCACGUUGUCCUUCAUUUAACCCGAAAACAUGCAAACACACGCUCUACAUAAUAGACAUUACUUGAAGGUCUGUUUACAAGAAAGAUGAUUACAUCACCAAACUCCACAGGGGAAAGGGCGUAUGGCAACACACGCCACCUAUUUCAACACUUUAUCACAUACCUAUCAGUGAUGCUGCUAUGAUUCCAUACCCUUUUUUGGGUUGGGUUGGGUUUUGGGGGAGGGGGCUGAAAGGUAGGAAUAGGAAGGGGCACUAAUUGACUCUUUCUAGUUUCAGCACAGAGGAAGUGGAAGGUGAUCGAUCGUAUUUUCUCCAUUCAAUGACCACUUCACUAUCAGAAUUAUACAAGCCAACUCAAACAUUUUGAAACCAAAAUAAAACACAAUUAUUUUAGGACUAUCCUCCAUUACUUUUCCAUGAGAGGUACUUGUAACUUUAGAAUAUGGGUACCAUCACAGUUUCUGGCAGAAUGUCCAGUCACCCAAGUAAACUGCAAAAGAGCUGAGGUAUGUUCUAAUGUUCAAACAUAGGAGAACCAAAAGAAAUAAGGUUCACCACAAGCUAGGUAAUAUGAGAAAAAUAAAAAUAUGUUGAGGGAAAAAGGACAAUGGAGAGGCCCCAGCGAUUUGAGAAAUGGCAAAGGUAGCACAAUGAGGGACGUGUAGCGCACGUCCCAAGUUUGAAUCCUGUUGUGGACCAAGUCUGGUAAAAGGACUGACUCAUUAUCCAUCUGAGUUUCGAAGAUGGAAACUACAAGAUUUCUUGGAUAUUUAAAAAACCAUAGGGAGAGCUGAACCAUAGAAAAUAUGAGAGAAAGGAAAAGCAUGGUAGGUACAGCAUCAAGGAUCUUAAAUGUGCCCUCUACUGAAGUUUAGGCAGACAUAUGAAGCCUAGAUGAGAUUCCACCAAAAUAUCUGGACAAUUCUAAAUUUGUGAUUAGAGAACAAAGAAAAUUGGCUAAGUCAUCGACUAUCCUAAGAAGCUUCACAAAAAGUAAGCUUAAAAGCCAUCCCCUAGUAAUCUCAAAGAGGCAAAAGAUGAUAAACAGGUCAUCUGAUAAAACAGAUCACCUUGUCUGUCUGUCUCUAUCCUUCGACUCCACACUUCCCCUUCCUUUCUCCCUACCUUAAAAGGCUAAACAUUUUCUUUUACUACUAAAUCUUUAACCCUCUUUGCCUUUUCACCAGAAGAAUCAACUUCAAGAACAUCCAAACAAAAGCAUGUACAUGAUAUAAGUUUUUAACUUUAAGAAAGAGAAAUAUUUGCUAUUGUAAUUAUAGCAGAAUGUGGUCCAACAAUGAUACUAUCCAUUUGAGAAACAACAAAAAAUAUCAUCUGGGUUACUAUAAUGUUUUGGCCCGCUCAGGUACAAGGAUUGCAGAUGACUCCACUUUUUAGACCAUAAAAGCUUUUCUCGAGAUGCUCUCUAAUUGUUGGCAUCAUUGCACCAAAGUCGUGUCUUCUUUAGGAGUUCAACUAGUUGGUUCCACAAUCCUUGGUCAUAAAGGAAAGAAAAGACUUCUUUUAAAAUCAAACAUAACCAGACAUCCUCUUAAUCAAUUCUUUCCAUGUACUUCUCAGCUAAGCAGUGUUCUCAUCUGAUUCUCACUUUAACUCUUCCCCGACAUUGAAUCUCUUUAGAGUUCUACCUUAUAAAUAUAACAGUUGUCGGAAUUCUAACAACUUAUACACCACAGGAGAAAUAGCAAUUAAGAAAAUGAACAUGAAAUGAGUGUAACAUGUGGUAAGGAGAAAAAGAAAAUAGUGCAUAUGAAAUACUAACAGACACAGAACAAGAAAUCUCUUACUCAUUACUUCACAUAUAAGCAAAAAAUAACACUAAGAUAUGACAUCAAGCAUGACUUGGAUAUCUACCAUCUCCCCUUAAAGAAUGUCAACUUCCACUAUGGAAUGCAAAAACACUCAUCUCAGCCCACUAAAAAAACUACUACAAUAUAGACCAAACACCUCAGCCAACCAGGUUUAAAGCUACCCUGCUUCCACAUAAAACAAGAACAACAACGACGCCUCAGUCCCUAGCAACAACAUUGCUUCAUUAAGCACAUCUUAGACCCAUAUUAUACAAAAAUAAUAGUGGUAUUAUUUAAUCACUCUCCUGAUAGAACAUGACAUUUAAAAACAUGUCAAUUUGAGCCACAUCAAGUUUAUGCAACCAAAAUAUUUAUCAGAGCCUCCCCAAAAUAUGAACAUCUUCCCUCAAUGAGUUUAUUGUAGCCACAAAACAAACAUAUUAUGCUUGAUCUAAUUGUUAUUACAUCAUCUGUAUCAAUAUGACAAAUAGCAUCGUCAGUUGACUCAAUUGCAUCGAUUACAUCCCAUAAAUAUAAAAUUAAGUUGAUUUUGAUCAUCAAAACUUAACAGAAGCUGGUCAGUUCUUCAUUAUGAAGAUUGUGAAUUGUACUGCCAAUCUCAUGUCGGAUUGCGGUUUUAUCACACACACACCAGUAGGAUUCAUCAGAGAACAACAACAAAAGGAACCCAAACAUUUGCACUAAAUUGCAAUGCAGAGAUAGAAAAGACUAACUGAACUCAACCAAAAAAGAUAGAAAUAAUAAAAGUUCAAUUCAGCAACCCAUGUAUACAAAAGUUUCAAUUGCAUCAAUUACAUCCCCAAAUAUGAAACAUGUUGAUUUCGAACUUCAAAACUUAAGAGAAGCUUAUCAUUACUUCUUUAUAGAACCUGUGAACAUCAUUGUACUAUCAAUUUCGUGUGAUUGUACCUUCCCCCCCCCCCCCCCACACACACACACACACACACCAGCAGGAUCCAAGAUAUAACAACAAUAAAAGAAACCCCAGCACUUGCACUAAAUGGUAAUGCAGAUAUAGAAAUAGCAGUAACAAAAACAAUCAAAACUCAACUUAGCAUCCAUGUAUGCACAAUCUACUAAUAAAAUCGCAAAACUGUAGCUAAAAAUCAUAAGAAACAUAAAAAAAAAAAGUUACCUCUUUAUCAUCAGUGACCUUGAGAACCAAUUUACCAUCAGAAUGUCUGUAUUUCAUCACAUAGCGAGUCUAUAAACCAAAAAAAAAUACCAUCAAUACAUGAAUUUAUACGAAAAAAAACAAAUGAUGAACUCAUCGGAGUCAAACAACACUUACUUUCUCGGGAUCGGCGCGAAACAACUGUACGGAUCUCUCAACAAAAUCAUCCCAGGAAGUGAUAUACACCAUUCUUCUUCUCUCUGUAUCUGCUAUAUAUAAAUAUAUGUAUAUAUAACUGCUAAUCGAGCGUUCUCUCGGUGACUGUUGACGCCGGAGCUAAAUUCAGUGGCCGGCCGGCGAGGUUUUCAAUUUUUGCUCCUUAGGGGGUUUGAAAAGUCUUUUAUUGGUAUGUUUUGAGUCGCUUGAGCAAAAGGGGAAUAUUAAUGGGCCUGCAAAUAACGGGUCCCGACCCGGAUUGGCCCAUGUAAUUGUCACCUGAGCACGAGGUAUAAGUUUAUAUUUUUGCAUCAUAAUAUUAUCAAAGUUAUAACGAGUUAUACAUAAGUUCGAUUGCUAAUGAUAAUAACUAAAGAUCAAACUAUUCGAACGAUAAAUCAUAUUAGUAAAAUCUCGUGAUGAUGAAUAAUUAGAUUGCAAUAUGUAUAAAAUUAUAAUCUUUUUUGUUAAUAAAUCGUCGAUAAAAAUUUAUGUAUUCAACAACCCCUUAAUUGAGAAAGGAUACAUCAGUACAAACAAUUAUUUUAUUUUAUUUUUUGGUCAUAACGGAAGUACAAAUAAUAAUUUGCAAGUUACAUAAGUUGCCAUACUUAAAAAUAAAAGUUUUAUAAAUUUAAUCCCACAAUAAUAAAACCAUAUAGUACUGUACAAAAAUUACAGACCGCUAGUCUCUCUUCAUAAUUUCUCCAUAGGUCUUGUAUCUUUAGGAACCUAUGGUAUUGUUUUUUUCGAUGAUCGAGAAAUCUAUCUGGAACCAACCCUUUGGGAAAAACGCAACCUUCAGAACUCGGGAAUGAUGGAUAACUCCAUAGCGCGAAAUUAACAAGGACUAACUUGUAGAUACAAAGCAACUUCAUCCAAUUAUGUUGCAAAAGAAUUCACUAUUGACACAAUUUACUAACCAUUGAAUACACGAGGUGACAUAUCGAUAGCUCAGCUGCAUUUCUGCUGGGGAAAAAAAGGAACUUGUGUGAUUUAUGUGCCAAGUAAACGAGGAUUCGAACCAAUAAGUAGUGAUGAUACUUACAAGAGCUCCAGUUGCCACUUUCAAGCAGAUGCAUUUUUCUCUUCUUCGAGUAUGGCAGCCUCUCUAAGUGCGAUUUGUGCCUCGUUUUCCCUUCCCAAUGUGAAAAGAGAAGCAGCUUGCAGAUAUGAUGCAAUAUGCCAAACAGGAGAUAUCACUUGUGCUUGUACUGUAUCAUUGAGAGCUUCUCGUGGCAUAUCAUUCAUGAGAUAAGACAGACAACGACGAACAAACACAGUUGGUGAGGCCAUGGCUCCAACGUCAAUGAACUGCAAGAGCAAGCAAAGUAAUAGAUAACGAAAUAGUUCAACAAUAGAAUAGAUCCACAUUGCACAGUAGUGUGUAACAUAAGCAGUCAUGACAGGUUACCAGUUACGCCAAGGUUCCCCUUCGGAAAGGGGGAAGCCAGAUAGCUUAGGAAUAUACAUGCCGGUUUAGAAGAGGAUAGUGGAUUUCUAACCUGCGUAUAGCAUUCAAUGGCAGCACUAAAAUCUUUAUUUUUGAAAGCAACAUCACCCUUUUUCUUUGAGUUCAACGUUUCCAGCAUCUGAUCUGUCCACAUCUGAAAUGAAAGCUGCAAGCAAGAAAAAGAAGUGUGAUCAUCAUGAGAUUCUUAUAAAAUUGGGUUUCAAAGACAAACUGGAUAUGAUUACAAUACGAAUGAGCAAUAAGUUGAAACCCAUGAAUCACAUGCAUGACGCAGAACCGGACAAUAAGUGUUCACAUGGAAUAGGUUAUAGAUGUUCAAAAACAUGCAUAUACAAGACCAGAAAGAAAACAGAUUAUUCUUUCUUUCAUGCAGUGACAACUCCAAACGUCAUACAUCUGCGGCCUACCUACCACUUAAGUGGCACCAAUGAGAUCCAGUAAGAAAGCGUCGUGGCUCUUCCACUCCGCAUCAAUCUUAUAAACUGAAGACUCAUUUCAAUUUGUUUGUAUGAUUUUGAAAAAGUAUGAAGUUGUUAAAAGAGUCACUAAAAGGGGAAAGAGAAGUAUAUUUUGAAACAAACAAAAGAAGAAAGUAGACAAACAAAUUGAAACAAAGAAAUACUAAUCAUUAAGAGAAGAUUUUGAGUUCGAUCUUGAGGAUAAAAUCGCUCUUAGUAAAGAGCGUUAAGCCCCAAAGUGGAACUUCCCAGCACGAACUCUAAUGAGUAAUGAGUAAGGUUCCAAAGCAGAUACCUAACACAUUAUGCAACAAUAACAAACCUCGUGCAACCCCACAAGUAGAGUCUAGAGAGGGUAGUGGUGUGUACAGUCUUAAACAUUAUGGGAUACAAAAAGGCUACUUGGAUAACAUUUGUCUAGUCUAGUUAGUUUAUCCUCAAGUUUAGCUCUGCAAAGAUAAAUAAGCUAUAAGAUAUCAGAGCUUGCAAAUUAAAAGGGCUAUCUUCAAAAAGCAAAAAAGAUCUGUUCCACUAAUAAUACAAAAAGAAGUUGGAGAGAAAAAUUCCUUGCAGGUUUCAAAAAUUUAUCUUCACAGCAGUAAGAGAGUUGCAGCAACAAACCCAUCGAAGAAUUAUUGUUUCCUUCCUCUUCCUUUCUUAGGUGCUUGUGCCUCCAUCUGUUCUUUGCCACCCACUUCAGAUAUAUCAGCUGCAACGAAAAGAACUUGCAGAGCAUUACAUUGACUGGAGCAUCAGGGAGAUGCAACUAUGCAAGUAUCGAAUAAAACUUCUUAGGAAUCAAUACAAGCAAAGAUAGAAGCAUGUCUAACAAGGUACAUGCCGAGUAAUUAGUAAAGAUUAGAUUGUCAUUGGAUGUUACUUAUACCAAACAAACAAGG